rnacentral:rRNA from 1 species
UGGGGAAGUAUUGCACAAUGGGCGGCAAGCCUGAUGCAGCCAUGCCGCGUGUAUGAAGAAGGCCUUCGGGUUGUAAAGUACUUUCAGCGGGGAGGAAGGCGUUGUGGUUAAUAACCACAGCGAUUGACGUUACCCGCAGAAGAAGUACCGGCUAACUCCGUGCCAGCAGCCGCGGUAAUACGGAGGGUGCAAGCGUUAAUCGGAAUUACUGGGCGUAAAGCGCACGCAGGCGGUCUGUCAAGUCGGAUGUGAAAUCCCCGGGCUCAACCUGGGAACUGCAUUCGAAACUGGCAGGCUAGAGUCUUGUAGA